rnacentral:rRNA from 1 species
UACGUAGGCAGCAAGCGUUGUUCGGAGUUACUGGGCGUAAAGGGUGCGUAGGCGGUUGUUUAAGUUUGGUGUGAAAUCUCCCGGCUCAACCGGGAGGGUGCGCCGAAUACUGAAUGACUAGAGUGCGGGAGAGGAGAGUGGAAUUCCUGGUGUAGCGGUGAAAUGCGUAGAUAUCAGGAGGAACACCGGUGGCGAAGGCGGUGGCCUGGGCCGGUACUGACGCUGAGGAGCGAAAGCGUGGGGAGCGAACAGG